CAUUGGUGCUUGCACCAGAUGACGAGUGGCGCACGGGUGCGUAACGCGUACGCAAUCUACCUUUUACUAGAGUAUAGCCCAGAGAAAUUUGGAUUAAUCCUCUAUAAUAUCUUUAAGUUUCAUGACUUUUAGAUUAAAGUUUUAACGGUAAAAGAUGAGCAUGCGUCCUAUUAGUUUGUAGGUGAGGUAACGGCUCACCUAGACUACGAUAGGUAGGGGCCCUGAGAGGGGGAUCCCCCACACUGGUACUGAGACACGGACCAGACUCCUACGGGAGGCAGCAGUAAGGAAUAUUGGACAAUGGACGAAAGUCUGAUCCAGCCAUGCCGCGUGCAGGAUGAAAGCCCUAUGGGUUGUAAACUGCUUUUAUACAGGAAGAAACACUCGUACGUGUACGAGCUUGACGGUACUGUAAGAAUAAGGACCGGCUAACUCCGUGCCAGCAGCCGCGGUAAUACGGAGGGUCCGAGCGUUAUCCGGAAUCAUUGGGUUUAAAGGGUCCGCAGGCGGUCUUUUAAGUCAGAGGUGAAAGCCUACAGCUCAACUGUAG
rnacentral:rRNA from 1 species